CCAGGGGGGCAAGAAAGAAGAACCCGCGUGCUUUUUCCCAAAAUUCAUACCAUAUUCUUCGGACUGCACGGUGAGCUUAAUUGAAUGGUGAAACCCUCAACUAAGUAUAUAGCCUAGUUGUAAUUUGGCAACGUCGAUCAUCAUCUCUGCAACAUCAUCUUCAUCUUCUUCAAUUGUGGCUUUGUUUGACUGGCCUAUUCAGUUUACUUGUCGUCGAAAAGGUUGCAAGACAUAAUCCAAAUGUCCAUCUUCCUUUAGUCUGGCUUCCAACUUCUUCCAAUGGACCUUCGAGCUUCGUCUUCAUUUUUAAGUCAUACUCUAUCUGAACUUGAAGCUAUCUGUCUUCCUUCAGUCCGACUUUACUCAAGCUUCUGAACGUAUCAUCCAGCUUCUUUCAGUGCAGCAUCAAGCUUCGUCUGACCAGCCCAACUUCUUGCUCCAGCUAGUGUAAACCUAUAACCCGACCCAUUACAAGGUAUUAGCACUUUGGUUUACAACAUUAUUUAAAUUUCUGGAAUUUGUAUAAUAUGGAAAUUUCUGGAAUUCGUAUGUUAUGGAAUUUCUGGAAUUUAUAUGAUAUGGAAUAUCUGGAAUUUGCAUCACCCAAAAUAUGAAUGCACCCAUUUAUGAAACCAUGCAUUUUUCUAUUUUUUCGUCAAAUCUGGAGAUAGUAAUUUGUUUCGGUGUGUAGUUGUGCGAUGUUCACAUUUUGUUGAUCUUGAAUGAUUUUAUUUUUCAUAGUCGAAGAAAUCAUGGAUGACAUGGAUAAUUAUAUUUUGGUAGAAUCACACAACGAGAACAUGGAAGACGAUAUGAACCAACUGGAAGAUGAAAUGGUAGAAGGAAAUGGUAGUAGUGUGCCCAAGGUCGGAAUGACGUUCAAGAAUGAGAACGAAUUGUAUGAUUUCUACAAGGCAUAUGCCUAUACUGUUGGUUUUCCAUUUAGGAAACAGAAUUUCGAAAAGGAUGACAAUGGAAUGUUGAAAUAUCUGACUUUGACAUGUAGUCGGGAAGGCAACAAAAGUGGUACUACAAGCGGCUCUUUGAAGCCUCAACCGACAAUUCAAAUGAGAUGUAACGCUAGAAUAUGUGCAUCUUUAGAUAUUCAUGGCUCUUGGAGAAUCGACACAAUCUGUCUAUAGCAUAAUCAUAGAAUAAGUCCGACGAAAUUGAGGUUGUAUCGUUGCAAUCGGGAACUGAGUGUGCAUGUUAAAAGGAAGCUAGAAGUGAAUGAUCUAGCUGGCAUUCCAUUGCAUAAAUCCUACAACUCGACAGUGGUGGAGGCAAGUGGUUAUGAGAACAUGACUUGCAUAGAAAAAGAUUGUCAUAACUAUAUUGAGCAAGUUAGGCGACUACGAUUUGAAGUAGGUGACGUCGCAUCAAUACAAAACUACAACGCAGUUAAGAUGCUUAGGUUUUUACUUCAGCAUUAAUUUGGAUGAUGACUCGCGUCUUAGGAAUGUAUUUUGGACAGACAAUCGGUCCAGGCAGGCAUUUAAGGAGUUUGGGGACGUUGUUACAUUUGAUACCACCUACCUGACCAAUAAGUAUGACAUGCCAUUUGCCCCUUUGUGGGCAUAAAUCAUCAUGGACAAUCGAUAUUGCUGGGUUGUGGUUUGGUGUCGAAUGAGAAUACAGGUACUUUCGUGUGGCUUUGCACAGAAUGGCUUAAGUGUAUGCACGGUCAAGCUCCAAAAGGAAUUAUUACUAAUCAGGAUAGGAUAAUGUAGAAUGCAAUCCAGAUCGUAUUUCCAAAUACGAAGCACAGAUGGUGCUUAUGGUAUUUAUUGAAGAAAUUGCCUGAGAAGUUCGACUACCACGUAGACAAGGAUUCGAUAUUUGCGACUAUUCAUACAUUAGUUUAUGAUUCCCAAACUGUUGAUGAAUUUGAAGGAGGUUGGAUAGCAAUGAUCGAGUCACAUGGGUUGCAUGAUAAUACUUGGUUGUCAGGCCUUUACGAUAAUAGAGGUCGUUGGGUCCCUUAUUUUUUGAAAACCACAUUUUGGGCAGGGAUGUCAACGACGCAAAGGAGUGAGAGCAUGAAUGCAUUUUUUUAUGGAUACGUUCAUUCAAAGACAUCUUUGAAACAGUUUGUUGAACAGUAUGAACGGGCACUACGGAAUAAGGUUGAAAAGGAGUUCCAGGCCAAUUUUAAAUCGUUUUCACAAAUGGUGCCGUGUACGACAACCUAUAAUAUAGAAAGGCAGUUUCAGUCAAUAUAUACCAUUUCAAAAUUUAGAGAAGUUCAAGCUGAGUUCACAGGGAAAGUUUAUUGCGAUAUCAUAACUUCCUCAGAAUCACAUCUUGGGAUGACGUACUGUAUACCAGAAGAUGUUGUAUACGAACAGCGUCGAAAGAAGAAAUCGUUCGAAGUUACAUUUCGAUCUGAGGACAGGGAAAUUAGUUGCAGUUGCCACUUGUUUGAGUCUAGAGGAAUAGUAUGCAUGCAUGCCCUCACUAUAUUGAUUCGUAAUGAUGUAACAUCACUUCCCGAGCGGUACAUUUUUCGAUGAUGGAGAAGAGAUGUUAGUAGAGCACAUUCGAGGGUCGCAGUCAAUUAUGAUGGGUUGGUGAGCUUUGCUGGACAGUUAAGAUAUGAUAGUAUGUGCCAGGAUUUUGCCACGUUGGCAGAUCUUGCUGCAGAUGAUGAAGCUCAAACUGUGCCAUAAUAGAAUGAAUUAGACUGCAGCCUAAGGAGUUCGUGAUUACGAAGUCAAUCUAUGGAAGUAAUUCUAUUUCACAUUGAAACAAUGAGGUAGCCACUAUGCAUAUUGAUUUCGAAAAUAAUACGAACCAUAACGUAUUCGAUCUACACAGUCUCGAAUAAAGGAUGCACCCAAAAAACUUCGACGAAAAGGACCUUUAGAGUCAUCUUCGAAGAAGGUAUAGAUGUCUCGAAAGUUUUGCAAUUUUUUGAAAAUUAUUGCAUUCACAAAGUGUCAUUUAUUGUGACAUACAUGCAGUCAAGUUCGACUUCAGUCAAACAAAAGAGGUCGACAUCAAAGCGUAGUAGUACAAGUAUGGGGGAACCCAAACUGGAGCCAAGCUCUGCAGAAAACCAAUAUUCCCCAUCUCCCCAAGUCACAUUAUCACAAUUUUCAGUUUCGACAACCUUCUCAUUACCAGAACUUGGCAUGCUAACAUCAUUCUCAUAUGUGCAAUGCUUACAAUCUUCCAGGUUGAUGAAUUCCUUGUCAACAAAUUACUUGUACAAUUUGUAAGGCCAUGCUUUUUCGUACUAUUAUCCACAUUUGUCGGACCAAGGUGACCCAGGUUUUUUAUGUUCAUCGAACAACCCAUGUAGUUGAUGCACUUGGCAGCGGAGCCCACUUCACCCUUUCGAAUGUUAAAGGCAAUUCAGUCGUAUGGUGGAUAUUACAUAGGUGGUUGCUUAUGUAUGUCUUUCACUCAUCUACAUCUUUCAUAAAUGUAUGACACCAACUUUUUGUUCAAGAUGCAAGAGUGCUCCAUGCAGGACUAGGACUGGGCACCAUAAGUUGGCCAAUAGAAAGAAAAUUGAGAGGGUAACUAUUAAAAGGAAAUUUGGAUGUACACAAUGACUUGUUUGCAAGAGCAUCCAACCAUGGGAAGGCUGAAGUGAAACUUGAUGCUCAUGAAAAAAUUAUGAAAUUUUCAUUUAUAGGUCUUAGACUGUCGUUUAAUUGGAAAUUAUACUUAUUCCCUUUGACAUUUUGAAUAGAAAAGUGCUUCAUUAUCAAACUAUUUAAACCAGGUGGUGAAUUUCCUUACUUUCAGUAGAAGAGUUUCUAAUUGAAAUUUCAGUUGCAUA